GACGAACGCUGGCGGCGUGCCUAAUACAUGCAAGUUGAGCGCUGAAGCAUGGUACUUGUACCAACUGGAUGAGCAGCGAACGGGUGAGUAACGCGUGGGUAAUCUGCCUUUUAGCGGGGGACAACAUUUGGAAACGAAUGCUAAUACCGCAUAAAAACUUUAAACACAAGAUUUAAGUUUGAAAGAUGCAAUUGCAUCACUCAUAGAUGAUUCCGCGUUGUAUUAGCUAGUUGGGGAGGUAAAGGCUCACCCAGGCGAUGAUACAUAGCCGAGCUGAGUGGGUGGUCGGCCACAAUGGGAAUGAGACAAGGCCCAAACCUCUUCGGGAGGCAGCAGUAGGGGAUUUUCGGCCAUGGAGGGAAAGCUGACCGAGGCAAGACGCGUGAGUGAAGAAGGUUUUCGGAUCGUAAAACUCUGUUGGUAGAGAAGAAAGUUGGUGAGAGUGGAAAGCUCAUCAAGUGACGGUAACUAAACAGAAAGGGACGGCUAACUACGUG
rnacentral:rRNA from 1 species